ACCACACACACUCCACCACUGAAUCCAGACCUCCUUUCUCCUUCUUCAGUUCCUGAUGAGGAGCAGGGUUGGGAGGCUCGCAGUUUCACUGUCAACAACAACAGAGACCUGACAACAGCGCAACACGGGAACCACGCCCCUGACACUCCCCCGUGCUCUGGUUGGAUCAUUUCUAACCACUAAGGUGAGAACGGCACUCUCUUCUAUCCCUGUGGACACAUCGCUGGAGAAGUCAUAACUCUGCACCCAUUGAUCUCAGGAGAGCAGGUAGGAGAGAGAGGAGAGCAAAGGGGGAGGAGAGGAAAGGAGAGGUGAGGAAAUGAGAACAAGAAGAGGUAAAGGAGAAGAGAGAAGGGGGGACCCCCGGGGAUCAAGAAAUAACUCAACUCACUGCCUCUGAAGGAUGCUGAAGAUACACAUUGCAAACAUGUUUGAAAUGUAAAAAUUGGAAAUGAGCAGAAUUGGGCCUGGCAGGAAUGAGUGCACAUAUAGACACUAAACUAACAACAUUGAUCAAAUAUUCCACUGCUGCUUGAGUAUGCAGAGUGCUUGUACGCUGUCUGUGGUGCUCAUUGCACAACCUUGAUACGAAAACGAAUAUUCAAAUGAAUAAAGUUGUCUUACGCUUAA